rnacentral:tRNA from 1 species
GCCGGGGUGACGGAGUGGCUACGUGGUGGACUGCAGAUCCACUUUACUCGGGUUCGAAUCCCGACCCCGGCU